UACGGUUGCUGAUACUGAU
rnacentral:snRNA from 1 species